GAAACCCUAUCUGUUCGGCGGUCUGUCGGCGUGCCCGAAACCGACCAAAUAAGCGGGUUCGGGGCGUGACAAUAUUCAUAUGUGAUGUACCUGCGACACCCAAUGAUUAAGUUCAAAAUUUUCUUUAGGCUCAGAAUUUGCUUUGUUUUACAGUUCCAAGUAGUCCAGUUUUCUUAGCUGGGAACUAAAUGCAUUUCAAAUCUCAGCCCAAUAUAUGCUUUUUAUCUUACUUUUUUUAUUUUUGUUCAUCAGUUCGUUGUGAUUGUGUAGUUUAGUUCUCAAUCCUCAUCAGCACCGACCUCCUUGGUCCCGCGAGGGCAAUCCUCGACCCGGCAAUCUGAUCCGAGCCCUCGGUGGUACCACUUCUUGAUUCGGUGCUCCAUUCCACUAGUCCAAGGAUAUAAUCGUGGAGUGGAUCAGAAUACGUUUAUGCACUUUUUGAUUUUGUUAUCAUAAAAUUUUUGAUUUUUGAUUUUUUUUUUUUCAGUUGGAGAGUUUGAUUUGUUAUAAUUAUUAGGCUAAAUUACAGAAAACUCCCUUGUAAUAACACGCUUUUUCACUCCCCCCUCCCCGACAUUUAAAAAUCGACACUUUGCCCCCUUGUAAAUUGUUGUGACGUAUGAAUAUUUGAAUUUUAGUUUUAUCAUUUUAAUGAGAAUUUAAGAAACUUUGGUGA